CCAGCAUCCCAAGGGAGACCUCCCAACAACUUGGCCACCUUCUGCUUGGGCUGCUUCAGAGGAACCAGAAAGACAGGAUGGACUUUGACGCGUUCUUCAGCCAUCCUUUCCUGGUGCCAAUAGUCACCAUAAAAAAAUCGUGCCCGGUGCCGGUGCCUAGCACCUCCAACGCAGUAACGGACAGCUCCUGUGGCAGCUCCCCAUGCAUCCGCUACAACUCC